GGCCGCAGGGCGCGCGCACGGCGCGGACGGCCUCCCCGCGAGGGGGCGCGCGCGUCGUCACAUGACCUCGGGCCGGCGCUGGGGGUCACGUGAGCUCCGCAACAGUUUAAAGGUGCCCGGCACCUUCCUGCUUUGGCUUCGGGCGUGCGCUCUGUGCGUAACUGCGAGUGCCUUGGUGCGCCUUCCUCGCGUCUGACGACGGGCGGGUCCCAUCCUGCCAGAGCGGGAGGACGCUGACGCAGGGGGAAGGAACAGGUGUACAGAGCCGUGCCCGGAAGCGCCUACCGGGUUCCUGCGGGGCCGGACCUGCUGGAGGCCACGCGCCUCACGUCGUCCCGGGGCUCCCGCGCCGCGCGGCCUAUGGAGACCUCGGGCUUGCGGACGUCAGAGCGGCGCUGUCAUGGGUGGGGUUUCGGGCUGCCCGGUGGCGCCUGGCGUGGAAGUCCGGGCGACGAUGAUAGCGUCCCGGGGCCGAACCUCAGAGCCUCCCGUGUGCGACUGGGGGUCCCCAGGGGGCGCGGUUUCCGCGCGUCCCGGCCCUCAGCCGGCGACGCUGGAGCAGAAGAGCUCGCUCGUCCCGCCUCCGGAAGCAAAGCUAGAGUUUGAUCACCUCCGCGUGGCAAGUCCCGCCCCGCGCAGGUGGCUGAGCACCAGAUGUUUUGCAAAGCUGAACAGUGUAACUUCCUGCAGCGUUCCCAGCUGGUUCCUUCAUGACAACCCCGCAGACGUCUUCUCAGCAAAGAAAGAUCAGCAAACCUUUAUACCAGUGAACAAACCUGGCGCUAAUAUGCCAAGCUUUCUGUUCUGAAACGGAUUUCCGCGUUUUAAAAAUAUCUUACCAGGUCCGCUUAUCACAUAAGCGCUCUCCUAAGAGGGGAGCAUCGUGAAGACAGAUGCUUAUAGUUACGUGAGCCGAAGCUAAUGCGUUUAUUAAAGCCACCAGAUCUUCACACACACACGUGAUUGAACCCAGGGCUUUUUAAGUUUUUGAGGCAAGGUUUUACUAAAUUGCCACAAGCUGGGCUCUUGGGGUCCUGCUUCCACUUUGCAGAGUGCUGGGAUUACAGGCAUGUUUUACCAUGCCCCUCUGAACCACCGUGAUCUUCAGUGGUUAGCCUCUGAACAAUCUGUGGUCCUUCAAACUCAGCCUCUCUAAUAGCUGGGAUUACAGGCAUGAGCCACUGUACUCAGAUUAAAACCUUUUUGAACAUUUAGUAUGUUAAUUUUUUGUAUAUAUUUUACAUCGACAUUCUCAUCUACCUUUUGACAGAUACAGGUUGAUUUAAUGCAGGUUGAUUUAAUUUGAUAAGGUGUAAAAUUUAGGAGCCUUUACUUUCGUUUUCCCACAGUACUUGUGUUGGUGUAGGAAAGGGCAAAUUUUGAAGGUAAGACCAAAAAUAAUUAGAAAGGAAACAGCACUUUUCCCUAUUUCAGUUUAUUAAUCUUUGAAGAGUUUCAGCAACUGAGCCAAGUGUGGUGAUGGUGCAUGCAGGUAAUCCAAACCCUUGGGCUAGUUCUGGUGGCCCACACCUGUGAUCCCAGUGCUGGGGCAGGCUGAGGCAGGAGGAUUACCUUGAAUUCAAGGCCAGCCGGAUCUCCAUACUCCAUAGUGAGAUCCUGUCUCAAAGACCCAAACAAACAAGGGAAAGAAGGGGGACAAGAAACAAUUACGGUGUAUUAUGUACAUGUACCAACGCCCCUUGAUAAAUGUCAUGUACUGAAUACGUGCACUAAUAAAGAAUUUUUAAAAGGCAAAGUCCAAGCACUUGAGGGACUGAGACAGAAGGAUCAUGAAUUUCUGGUCAACCUGAGCUACACAGUAGGACUGAUACCAGGUAGCUUGCUUCUAAAAGGUGGCUCACCAACUAAACAUUACCUGUUUGGGGUUGCUUCCUCUCCGAAGCUGGGCUCCACGUUCUUCUCUUGAAUAAAGAUUUGAACAAAACGAGCAAAAAAGUGCUAAUAUCUAUUUGAGAAAGUCAAAG
rnacentral:lncRNA from 1 species